rnacentral:rRNA from 1 species
AUUGAACGCUGGCGGCAUGCCUUACACAUGCAAGUCGAACGGUAACGCGGGGCAACCUGGCGACGAGUGGCGAACGGGUGAGUAAUGCAUCGGAACGUGCCUGGUAGUGGGGGAUAACUGCUCGAAAGAGCAGCUAAUACCGCAUACGACCUGAGGGUGAAAGGGGGGGAUCGCAAGACCUCUCGCUAUCAGAUCGGCCGAUGUGGGAUUAGCUAGUUGGUGGGGUAAAGGCACACCAAGGCAACGAUCCGUAGCUGGUCUGAGAGGACGACCAGCCACACUGGGACUGAGACACGGCCCAGACUCCUACAGGAGGCAGCAGUGGGGAAUUUUGGACAAUGGACGCAAGUCUGAGCCAGCAAUGUCGCGUGCGGGAAGAAGGCCUUCGGGUUGUAAACCGCUUUUGUUAGGGAAGAAAUUCUCCGGGCUAAUACCCAGGGGGGAUGACGGUACCUAAAGAAUAAGCACCGGCUAACUACGUGCCAGCCGCCGCGGUAA